rnacentral:rRNA from 1 species
UGGGGAAUUUUGCACAAUGGGGGAAACCCUUAUGCAGCGACGCCGCGUGAUUUAGAAGGCCUUCGGGUUGUAAAAAUCUUUUUUACGGGAUGAAAAUGACAGUACCGUAAGAAUAAGGUCCGGCUAAAUACGUGCCAGCAGCCGCGGUAAUACGUAUGGACCGAGCGUUGUCCGGAAUCAUUGGGCGUAAAGGGUACGUAGGCGGGUAAGCAAGUUAGAAGUGAAAUCCUAUAGCUCAACUAUAGUAAGCUUUUAAAACUGCUCAUCUUGAGGUAUGGAAGGGAAAGUGGAAUUCCGAGUGUAGCGGUGAAAUGCGCAAGAAUUAGGAGAAAUACCGGUGGCGAAGGCGACUUUCUGGCCAUAACCUGACGCUGAGGUACGAAAGCGUGGGUAGCAAACAGG